rnacentral:rRNA from 1 species
UACGGGGGGGGCAAGCGUUGUUCGGAAUUACUGGGCGUAAAGGGCUCGUAGGCGGCCAACUAAGUCAGACGUGAAAUCCCUCGGCUUAACCGGGGAACUGCAUCUGAUACUGGAUGGCUUGAGUUCGGGAGAGGGAUGCGGAAUUCCAGGUGUAGCGGUGAAAUGCGUAGAUAUCGGGAGGAACACCUGAGGCGAAGGCGGGUUACUGGGCUGAUACUGACGCUGAUGCGCGAAAGCCAGGGCAGCAAACGGG